GCUGACGAGUGGCGGACGGGUGAGUAAUGUCUGGGAAACUGCCUGAUGGAGGGGGAUAACUACUGGAAACGGUGGCUAAUACCGCAUAACGUCGCAAGACCAAAGAGGGGGACCUUCGGGCCUCUUGCCAUCAGAUGUGCCCAGAUGGGAUUAGCUUGUUGGUGAGGUAACGGCUCACCAAGGCGACGAUCCCUAGCUGGUCUGAGAGGAUGACCAGCCACACUGGAACUGAGACACGGUCCAGACUCCUACGGGAGGCAGCAGUGGGGAAUAUUGCACAAUGGGCGCAAGCCUGAUGCAGCCAUGCCGCGUGUAUGAAGAAGGCCUUCGGGUUGUAAAGUACUUUCAGCGGGGAGGAAGGUGUUGUGGUUAAUAACCGCAGCAAUUGACGUUACCCGCAGAAGAAGCACCGGCUAACUCCGUGCCAGCAGCCGCGGUAAUACGGAGGGUGCAAGCGUUAAUCGGAAUUACUGGGCGUAAAGCGCACGCAGGCGGUCUGUCAAGUCGGAUGUGAAAUCCCCGGGCUCAACCUGGGAACUGCAUUCGAAACUGGCAGGCUUGAGUCUUGUAGAGGGGGGUAGAAUUCCAGGUGUAGCGGUGAAAUGCGUAGAGAUCUGGAGGAAUACCGGUGGCGAAGGCGGCCCCCUGGACAAAGACUGACGCUCAGGUGCGAAAGCGUGGGGAGCAAACAGGAUUAGAUACCCUGGUAGUCCACGCCGUAAACGAUGUCUACUUGGAGGUUGUGCCCUUGAGGCGUGGCUUCCGGAGCUAACGCGUUAAGUAGACCGCCUGGGGAGUACGGCCGCAAGGUUAAAACUCAAAUGAAUUGACGGGGGCCCGCACAAGCGGUGGAGCAUGUGGUUUAAUUCGAUGCAACGCGAAGAACCUUACCUGGUCUUGACAUCCACAGAACUUUCCAGAGAUGGAUUGGUGCCUUCGGGAACUGUGAGACAGGUGCUGCAUGGCUGUCGUCAGCUCGUGUUGUGAAAUGUUGGGUUAAGUCCCGCAACGAGCGCAACCCUUAUCCUUUGUUGCCAGCGGUUAGGCCGGGAACUCAAAGGAGACUGCCAGUGAUAAACUGGAGGAAGGUGGGGAUGACGUCAAGUCAUCAUGGCCCUUACGACCAGGGCUACACACGUGCUACAAUGGCGCAUACAAAGAGAAGCGACCUCGCGAGAGCAAGCGGACCUCAUAAAGUGCGUCGUAGUCCGGAUUGGAGUCUGCAACUCGACUCCAUGAAGUCGGAAUCGCUAGUAAUCGUGGAUCAGAAUGCCACGGUGAAUACGUUCCCGGGCCUUGUACACACCGCCCGUCACACCAUGGGAGUGGGUUGCAAAAGAAGUAGGUAGCUUAACCUUCGGGAGGGCGCUUACCACUUUGUGAUUCAUGACUGGGGUGAAGUCGUAACAAGGUAACCGUAGGGGAACCUGCGGUUGGAUCACCUCCUUA
rnacentral:rRNA from 16 species